rnacentral:rRNA from 1 species
UACAGAGGGGGCAAGCGUUAUUCGGAAUCACUGGGCAUAAAGGGCGCGUAGGCGGCUCUAAAAGUCAGGGGUGAAAUCCGGCAGCUUAACUGUCGCAGUGCCUUUGAUACUGUAGAGCUCGAGGGAGGUAGGGGUCUGUGGAACUUCCGGUGGAGCGGUGAAAUGCGUUGAUAUCGGAAGGAACGCCGGUGGCGAAAGCGACGGACUGGAUCUCUUCUGACGCUGAGGCGCGAAAGCCAGGGGAGCAAACGGG